AUUGAACGCUGGCGGCAUGCUUUACACAUGCAAGUCGAACGGCCGCGCGGGCUUCGGCCUGGCGGCGAGUGGCCAACGGGUGAGUAAUACAUCGGAACGUGCCCAGUAGUGGGGGAUAGCUCGGCGAAAGCCGGAUUAAUCCCGCAUACGACCUGAUGUUGAAAGCGGUGGAUCUUCGGACCUCGCGCUAUUGGCUCGGCCCAUGGCAGAUUAGCUAGUUGGUGGGGUAAAGGCCUACCAAGGCGACGAUCUGUAGCUGGUCUGAGAGGACGACCAGCCACACUGGAACUGAGACACGGCCCAGACUCCUACGGGAGGCAGCAGUGGGGAAUUUUGGACAAUGGGCGAAAGCCUGAUCCAGCAAUGCCGCGUGUGUGAUGAAGGCCUUCGGGUUGUAAAGCACUUUUGGCGGGAAAGAAAAGAAGUGUGAGAAAACCACGGUUCGAUGACGGUACCCGCAGAAUAAGCACCGGCUAACUACGUG
rnacentral:rRNA from 1 species